rnacentral:rRNA from 1 species
AGGGCACCACCAGGAGUGGAGCCUGCGGCUUAAUUUGACUCAACACGGGAAAUCUCACCAGGCCCGGACACUGGAAGGAUUGACAGAUUGAGAGCUCUUUCUCGAUUCGGUGGGUGGUGGUGCAUGGCCGUUCUUAGUUGGUGGAGUGAUUUGUCUGGUUAAUUCCGAUAACGAGCGAGACUCUGUCCUGCUAAAUAGUUCCCGCGUCCUUUGUUGCGCGGGAAAUUCUUCUUAGAGGGACUGGCGGCGUCUAGCCGCACGAGAUUGGGCAAUAACAGGUCUGUGAUGCCCUUAGAUGUUCUGGGCCGCACGCGCGCUACACUGAAGGGAUCAGCGUGUCUUCCCCUCCCGAGAGGGACGGGUAACCCGCUGAACCCCCUUCGUGGUAGGGAUCGGGGCUUGCAAUUAUUCCCCGUGAACCAGGAAUUCCCAGUAAGCGCAAGUCAUAAGCUUGCGUUGAUUACGUCCCUGCCCUUUGUACACACCGCCCGUCGCUACUACCGAUUGAACGUUUUAGUG